rnacentral:tRNA from 2 species
AACUUCCGACACUGUUAGAGCAUGCGGCUGUUAACCGCAGGGUCGUUGGUUCGAGUCCAACAGGGGGAGUUUCCA